rnacentral:rRNA from 1 species
CAAUAGCGUAUAUUAAAGUUGUUGCAGUUAAAAAGCUCGUAGUUGGAUUUGUGGCCAUCGCUAGCGGCCUAUCACUUAGUGUUAGCGCUUGCUGGCGGCGCCAUCCUUGGGUGGAGCCCGUGUGGCAUUAGGUUGUCGUGCGGGGGAUGCCCAUCGUUUACUGUGAGAAAAUUAGAGUGUUCAAAGCAGGCUUAUGCCAUUGAAUAUGUUAGCAUGGAAUAAUAAGAUAGGACCUCGGUACUAUUUUGUUGGUUUGCGCACCGAGGUAAUGAUUAAUAGGGACAGUUGGGGGUAUUCGUAUUCCAUUGUCAGAGGUGAAAUUCUUGGAUUUCUGGAAGACGAACUACUGCGAAAGCAUUUACCAAGGAUGUUUUCAUUAA